GUGAGGAAUAUUGGUCAAUGGGCGAAAGCCUGAACCAGCCAUGUCGCGUGAAGGAUGAAGGUCCUAUGGAUUGUAAACUUCUUUUGCAGGAGGGUAAAGUGAGCUACGUGUAGUUCAUUGCAAGUACCCUGCGAAUAAGCAUCGGCUAACUCCGUGCCAGCAGCCGCGGUAAUACGGAGGAUGCGAGCGUUAUCCGGAUUUAUUGGGUUUAAAGGGUGCGUAGGCGGACUAAUUAGUCAGCGGUGAAAUUUUGCGGCUCAACCGUAAAACUGCCGUGGAAGCUGUUAGUCUUGGGUGGGGUAGAGGUAGGCGGAAUGUGGGGUGUAGCGGUGAAAUGCUUAGAUAUCACACAGAACACCGAUUGCGUAGGCAGCUUACUGGAGCGCAACUGACGCUGAGGCACGAAAGCGUGGGGAUCGAACAGGAUUAGAAACCCCAGUAGUCC
rnacentral:rRNA from 1 species